rfam:Schistosoma mattheei strain Denwood, Zambia genome assembly, scaffold: SMTD_scaffold0002795
UUCCAGCUGACGAGUCCCAAAUAGGACGAAACACGCGUCCUGGAU